rnacentral:lncRNA from 1 species
UUGUGGCUUAAGUUUUUGAAGUUUUACAGGAUCACCUAUUCACCCCCCCCUCUAGGUGCUCUCAAUUGGUAUCGGAGCCGUUCUCUUCAAGAAAGGGACUAACCGCCCGAAGAGAUGGAUCCUAAGGGGAAGGGAAUUGUGAUCAACGACAAGGAGAAGGAGUCCUUCGUCAACGAGCCAAGGGAUGACAAGUCCAAUGACUCGGGCUCGGGCCACAAGCGAAGAGAUGGGAAGAAGAAGAAGACAAGACGCAUCAAGGAGAUCGUCUACUACGACAGCGAUGAGUCCUCUUCUUCCCAAAAGGACGACGACUACGACAAACAAAGGAAACCGGUUAAUUCUAACUUUUCUUUUGACUACUCUCGUAUUCCGCAUAGUUCAAAUUCACAUUUGCUUUCCAUUCCACUCGGCAAGCCCCCACACUUUGAUGGAGAGGACUACGGAUUUUGGAGCCACAAAAUGCGUAGUCACCUAUUCUCUCUCCAUCCUAGCAUAUGGGAGAUUGUAGAUAGUGGAAUGCACUUUAAUAGUUCGGAUAGUCCUAUAUUCAUUAAUGAGCAAAUCCAUAAGAAUGCACAAGCUACUACUGUUCUUCUAGCCUCAUUGUGCAGGGAUGAAUAUAAUAAAGUGAGUGGCUUGGAUAACGCCAAGCAAAUCUGGGAUACCCUCAAGAUCUCUCAUGAGGGAAAUGACGCUACCUUGCUCACCAAAAUGGAGUUGGUGGAGGGCGAGCUUGGACGGUUCGCGAUGAUAAGGGGCGAGGAGCCAACUCAAACAUACAACCGGCUCAAGACCCUUGUCAACAAAAUAAGGAGCUACGGAAGCACGCGAUGGACGGACCACGACGUCGUCCGACUAAUGCUCAGGUCCUUUACCGUUCUUGAUCCUCAUUUGGUGAAUAAUAUUCGUGAGAAUCCCAGGUACACCAAAAUGUCGCCCGAAGAAGUACUAGGAAAAUUCGUCAGCGGGCGAAUGAUGAUCAAGGAGGCAAGGUAUGUGGACGACGCCUUGAAUGGACCGAUCAACGAGCCGCAACCUUUUGCUCUCAAAGCCACAGGGAACAAGGAGGCGCUACCCAGCAAGGUGGCGCAAAUUGAGGCGGCCGGUCUUAAUGAAGAAGAAAUGGCCCUCAUUAUCAAGAGAUUCAAGACGGUGCUAAAGGGUCGCAAUGGACAGCCGAGCAAGACUAAGACCAAGGGGAAGCGAUCAUGCUUCAAAUGCGGUAAGCUUGGUCAUUUUAUUGCUAACUGUCCUGAUAAUGAUAGUGACCAGGAAAAGGGGAACAAGAGGGAAAAGAAGAAGCAUUACAAGAAGGCAAAGGGCGAGGCGCAUCUAGGCAAGGAGUGGGACUCGGAUUGCUCCUCGUCCGACUCCGACAAUGAAGGACUCGCCGCCACCGCCUUCAACAAAUCAACCCUCUUCCCCAACGAGCGUCACACAUGCCUUAUGGCAAGAGAGAAGAAGGUAUGUACUCGCAACUCUACCUAUGCUUCUUCAAGUGAGGACGAAUCUAGUGAUGAGGAUGAAGUAGAUUAUUCAUGUUUGUUCAAGGGCUUAGAUAGAUCUAAGAUAGACAAAAUUAAUGAAUUAAUUGAUGCCUUGAAUGAAAAGAAUAUACUUUUAGAAAAGCAAGAGGAUUUGUUGUAUGAAGAGCAUGAUAAAUUUGUUGAGGCACAAAAAUCCUAUGCUUUAGAAGUUAAGAGAAAUGAAAUGCUUUCUUUUGAACUAUCUACUUGUCAUGAAACCAUUUCUACUUUGAAAGGUGUCAACAAUGAUUUAAAUGCUAAAUUAGAAGUAGCAAACAAAUCCAAUUCUUGUGUAGAACAUGUUGAAAUUUGUACUAGGUGUAAAGACUUUGACAUUAAUGCUUGUAGUGAACACCUAGUUUCAAUUUCCAAGCUUAAUGAUGAACUGGCUAGUCUUAAUGCUCAACUUAAGACUAGCAAGAAUGAUUUCGAUAAGCUAAAAUUUGCAAGGGAUGCCUACACAAUUGGUAGACACCCCUCAAUUAAGGAUGGACUUGGCUUCAAGAGAGAAGCUAAGGACUUAACAAGCCAUAAGGCUCCCAUUCCCGCCAAGGAGAAAGGGAAGGCCCCUAUGGCUAGUAAUGUGCAAAAGAACCAUGCUUUUAUGUAUUAUGAUAGGAGACAAACUAGAAAUGCUUAUAGGAGUUAUAAUGCUUUUGAUGAUUUUGACUCUCAUGCCAUGUUUGCUCCUAGUUCCUCUUAUGUGUAUGAUAGAAAUGUUACUAGGAGAAAUGUUGUUCCUAAGAGAAAUACUAUUCAUCAUGUGUCUAGAAAGAAUGCUAUUCAUGCUCCUAGGAAAGUAGUGAAUGAACCUUCCACAAUUUAUUAUGCUUUAAAUGCUUCCUUUGCUAUUUGUAGAAAGGAUAAGAAAAUUGUUGCUAGAAAGUUAGGGGCAAAAUGCAAGGGAGACAAAACUUGCAUUUGGGUCCCUAAGGAUAUUUGCACUAACCUUGUAGGACCCAACAUGAGUUGGGUACCUAAGACCCAAGCCUAAAUUUGCCUUGCAGGUUUAUGCAUCCGGGGGUUCAAGCUGGAUUAUUGAUAGCGGAUGCACAAACCAUAUGACGGGGGAGAAGAAGAUGUUCACCUCCUACGUCAAGAAUAAGGAUUCCCAAGAUUCAAUCAUAUUCGGUGAUGGGAAUCAAGGCAAGGUAAAAGGGUUAGGUAAAAUUGCAAUUUCUAAUGAGCACUCUAUCUCUAAUGUGUUUUUAGUAGAGUCACUAGGAUAUAAUUUACUAUCUGUUAGUCAAUUGUGCAAUAUGGGAUAUAACUGUCUGUUUACAAAUAUAGAUGUGUCUGUCUUUAGAAGAAGUGAUGGUUCACUAGCUUUUAAGGGUGUAUUAGACGGCAAACUUUAUUUAGUUGAUUUUGCAAAAGAAGAGGCCGGUCUAGAUGCAUGCUUAAUGGCUAAGACUUGCAUGGGCUGGCUGUGGCAUCGCCGCUUAGCACAUGUGGGGAUGAAGAACCUUCACAAGCUUCUAAAAGGAGAACACGUGAUAGGUCUAACCAAUGUUCAAUUCGAAAAAGAUAGACCUUGUGCAGCUUGUCAAGCAGGGAAACAAGUGGGAGGAGCGCAUCACAGCAAGAAUGUGAUGACCACUUCAAGACCCCUGGAGCUGCUGCAUAUGGACCUCUUCGGACCCGUCGCCUAUCUAAGCAUAGGGGGAAGUAAGUAUGGUCUAGUUAUUGUUGAUGACUUUUCCCGCUUCACUUGGGUGUUCUUUUUGCAGGAUAAGUCUGAAACCCAAGGGACCCUCAAGCGCUUCCUCAGGAGGGCUCAAAAUGAGUUUGAGCUCAAAGUGAAGAAGAUAAGGAGCGACAACGGGUCCGAAUUCAAGAACCUUCAAGUGGAGGAGUUCCUUGAAGAAGAAGGGAUCAAGCACGAGUUCUCCGCUCCCUACACACCACAGCAAAAUGGUGUGGUAGAGAGGAAGAACAGGACGCUCAUUGACAUGGCGAGGACGAUGCUAGGAGAGUUCAAGACCCCCGAGUGCUUUUGGACGGAAGCCGUGAACACUGCUUGCCAUGCCAUCAACAGGGUCUACCUUCAUCGCCUCCUCAAGAAGACGUCGUAUGAGCUUCUAACCGGUAACAAACCCAAUGUAUCGUACUUUCGUGUAUUUGGGAGUAAAUGCUACAUUCUAGUGAAGAAGGGUAGAAAUUCUAAGUUUGCUCCCAAAGCUGUAGAAGGGUUUUUGUUAGGUUAUGACUCAAAUACAAAGGCGUAUAGAGUCUUCAACAAAUCAUCGGGUUUGGUUGAAGUCUCUAGCGACGUUGUAUUUGAUGAGACUAAUGGCUCUCCAAGAGAGCAAGUUGUUGAUUGUGAUGAUGUAGAUGAAGAAGAUGUUCCGACGGCCGCUAUACGGACCAUGGCGAUUGGAGAAGUACGGCCACAGGAACAAGAUGAACGAAAUCAACCUUCUUCCUCAACUAUGGUGCAUCCCCCAACCAAAGAUGACGAACAGGUACCUCAAGUGGAGGCGCUCGAUCAAGGGGGAGCACAAGAUAAUCAUGUGAUGGAGGAAGAAGUGCAACCGGCACCUCCAACCCAAGUUCGAGCGAUGAUUCAAAGGGAUCAUCCCGUCGACCAAAUUCUGGGUGACAUUAGCAAGGGAGUAACUACUCGAUCUCGAUUAGUUAAUUUUUGUGAGCAUUACUCUUUUGUCUCUUCUAUUGAGCCUUUCAGGGUAGAGGAGGCCUUGCUAGAUCCGGACUGGGUGUUGGCCAUGCAAGAGGAGCUAAACAACUUCAAGCGCAAUGAAGUUUGGACACUGGUGCCUCGUCCGAAGCAAAAUGUUGUGGGAACCAAGUGGGUGUUCCGCAACAAACAGGACGAGCACGGGGUGGUGACGAGGAACAAGGCUCGACUUGUGGCAAAAGGUUAUGCCCAAGUCGCAGGUUUGGACUUUGAGGAGACCUUUGCUCCUGUGGCUAGGCUAGAGUCCAUUCGUAUUUUGCUAGCAUAUGCCGCUCACCAUUCUUUCAGGUUGUACCAAAUGGAUGUGAAGAGCGCUUUCCUCAACGGGCCAAUCAAGGAGGAGGUGUACGUGGAGCAACCCCCUGGCUUCGAGGAUGAACGGUACCCCGACCACGUGUGUAAGCUCUCUAAGGCGCUCUAUGGACUUAAGCAAGCCCCAAGAGCAUGGUAUGAAUGCCUUAGAGACUUUUUACUUGCUAAUGCUUUCAAGGUUGGGAAGGCCGAUCCAACUCUUUUUACAAAGACAUGUGAUGGUGAUUUGUUUGUGUGCCAAAUUUAUGUCGAUGACAUAAUAUUUGGUUCUACUAACCAAAAGUCUUGUGAAGAGUUUAGCAGGGUGAUGACGCAGAAAUUCGAGAUGUCGAUGAUGGGCGAGUUGAACUACUUCCUUGGGUUCCAAGUGAAGCAACUCAAGGAAGGCACCUUCAUCUCCCAAACGAAGUACACGCAAGAUCUGCUAAAGCGGUUUGGGAUGAAGGACGCCAAGCCCGCAAAGACGCCAAUGGGGACCGACGGACACACCGACCUCAACAAAGGAGGUAAGUCCGUUGAUCAAAAAGCAUACCGGUCAAUGAUAGGUUCUUUGCUUUACUUAUGUGCUAGUAGACCGGAUAUUAUGCUUAGCGUAUGCAUGUGUGCUAGAUUUCAAUCCGAUCCUAAGGAGUGUCACUUAGUGGCGGUGAAGCGAAUUCUUAGAUAUUUGGUUGCUACGCCUUGCUUCGGGCUCUGGUAUCCAAAGGGGUCUACCUUUGACUUAGUUGGAUACUCAGACUCCGACUAUGCUGGAUGUAAGGUCGAUAGGAAGAGUACAUCGGGGACGUGCCAAUUCUUAGGAAGGUCCCUGGUGUCAUGGAACUCUAAGAAACAAACCUCCGUUGCCCUAUCCACCGCUGAGGCCGAGUAUGUUGCCGCAGGACAGUGUUGCGCGCAACUACUUUGGAUGAGGCAAACCCUCCGGGACUUUGGCUACAAUCUGAGCAAAGUCCCACUCCUAUGUGACAAUGAGAGUGCUAUCCGCAUGGCGGAGAAUCCUGUUGAGCACAGCCGCACAAAGCACAUAGACAUCCGGCAUCACUUUUUGAGAGACCACCAGCAAAAGGGGGAUAUCGAAGUGUUUCAUGUUAGCACCGAGAACCAGCUAGCCGAUAUCUUCACUAAGCCUCUAGAUGAGAAGACCUUUUGCAGGUUGCGUAGUGAGCUAAAUGUCUUAGAUUCGCGGAACCUGGAUUGAAUUGUAGCAUACAUGUAGUUAUGCUUUUGAUCAUGUUCCUUUUUUUUUGCAUUAUGUUGCUUAUUAUGGUGCUCAAGUUGUACAAACACUCCCUGGACCUCACAAGUCCGUUGCAAAGUGAUGCACAUAUUUAGGGGGAGAUGUGUUACAACUUGACCCUUUGAGACUAACCUUGUGCUUGAGUUUGAUAAUUUAGUCUCGAAGGAGGAUUGAAAGGGAAAAGGUGGACUUGGACCAUGAAAGACUUCCACUGCACUCCGAUGAGAGGGUAACUAAUUCCAAGUUCAUCUCAUGAAAUCUUAUUGCCAUUUGCUCUUAAUUGAAGACUUUGGUGAGGCAAUGAGGUUAAAAGGCCAAGAUUGAUCCCGUUUUGGUGCUUGAUGCCAAAGGGGGAGAAAAUAAAGGCCAAAGCGAUAAAUGGAUCAGCUACCACUUGAGAGAUUUUGAAAAUAGUAGAAUAGAGUUUUUGUUGUGUCAAAAGCUUUUAUUGUCUCUCUUGUCAAAAGUUGGCUUCUUGUGGGGAGAAGUAUUGAUUAUGGGAAAUAGGGGGAGUUUUUGAAAUCUUUGAUCAAUCUCUUUUGGAAUGACUCUCUUUAUACUUCAACAUGUGUGUUUGACUUAGAGAUAGAGAUUUGAGUUUGAUUUGCAAAAACAAACCAAGUGGUGGCAAAGGAUGAUCCAUAUAUGCCAAAAUUGAAUAAAACCAAUUUGAGUUUUUAUUUAAAGUGAUUUUGCACUUGUUCUAGUUGCUUUAUAUUGUGUUGGCAUAAAUCACCAAAAAGGGGGAGAUUGAAAGGGAAAUGUGCCUUUGGGCCAUUUCUAAGUAUUUUGGUGAUUGAGUGCAAACACAAGUGCUUAAAUGUGAAAAUAUGCCCAAGGAUGAUCAAAGUGCAAAUCACAAGUUAAGGUAUGUUUCUAAGCCUUAGUACAUUGGUUUUGUGUACUAAUAUAUUUGUCUAAGUGUUAGAAACAGAUAGAAGAAGAGAAGAGAAGACUUGGCUGUGUACAGCCAAGGGGCUGCUUCGGUCUGGGGCACCGGACUGUCCGGUGGUGCACCGGACAGUGUCCGGUGCGCCAGGCUGCCUCGACCGAAGAGGCCGCUCUCGGGUUUUUCUCUGGCAACUUCGGCUAAAAUUCACCGGACUGUCCGGUGUGCACCGGACUGUCCGGUGAGCCAACGGUCGGCCGGGCCAACGGUCGGCCGCGCGAUCGCCGCGCGACACAUGGCUGAGCCAACGGUCGGAAGAAAGCACCGGACUGUCCGGUGUGCACCGGACUGUCCGGUGCGCCAGAUCUGCAACGGUCGGCAACGGUCGGCUUCGCUUUCUAUGGAAACAAAUCGGGCACCGGACAGUGUCCGGUGUGCACCGGACUGUCCGGUGCGCCACGAGACAGAAGGCAAAGAUGGCCUUCCAGAUUUGUUCCCAACGGCUCCUAGCUGCCUUGGGGCUAUAAAAGGGACCCCUUGGCGCAUGGAGGAGUACACCAAGCAUUCCUACAACUCUUCUAAGCACCAAGACAUCAAUCUCACGCAUUCGUUUCAUUGUGAUAGCAUAUAGAGCUCUUGUGGAGUUGUGAACUCUUUGUGUUGCGUUGCGAGCUCUUGUUGCGACUUGUGUGCGUGUUGUUGCUCUGAUUUUCGAGUCUUGUGUGCGUUGCUCAUUCCCACCUUACUCCGUAUUUCUUUGUGAACUCAAUUGUAAGGGCGAGAGACUCCAAGUUGUGGAGAUUCCUCGCAAACGGGAAAAGAUCAAAGGAAAGAAAAACACCGUGGUAUUCAAGUUGAUCAUUGGAUCACUUGAGAGGAGUUGAGUGCAACUCUCGUCCGUUGGGACGCCACAACGUGGAGUAGGCAAGUUUUGUACUUGGCCGAACCACGGGAUAACCACCGUGUCAACUCUGUGAUUGCUUUCUUGUGGUUAUUGUGUUUUGACUCCUCUCUAGCCACUUGGCCAUACCUGUGCUAACUCUUAACAAGUUUUUGUGGCUUAAGUUUUUGAAGUUUUACAGGAUCACCUAUUCACCCCCCCCUCUAGGUGCUCUCAGUACCGCAGGAUGAGGCGCUUGGAGGAUGUUGUGACGUGUUCAUGAGAGGUCUAGGCCGUCGUCUCCCAGUCAACUUUGGGUUGCUGGACCGUUGUCUCUGUAUAAUGUAAUUAUUUAUUUAUUUUGUACAGAAUUCCUAUUGUAUAGUAAAGUUGUGACAU